UUUGUGCCCACAGGGGUUUCCAUCCUCCUGGGUUUCUAUCCCUGGAUGUUUCUGGAUCCAGGGAUUUUGUGGGAAUUCCAGAAGCACAAGGUCCUGGUGUAGCAAAACCCCUCCGGGGAUUUUUGUGGGGAACCAGGAAUGUUCCAGGAUGACUGAGCUUCUGUUCACCCCCAGCAUUCCCGGGCUUCCCAUCCAAAUCCCGGGAUUUUCCCUAAGAGCCGAUGACAAACUCUGGCUUGGAGAUGAAAACCGGGAGCUCUCAGCAUUCCCUUGGAUUCCCGGGAGGGAAUUCAAGACCACCCUGCUGCUUCCCGGAUUUUUUUUUUUAUUUUUUUUUUUCCCCCAAAUAUCUUUAUCCUUUAGAAAAUUUUUAUUUUUUUUUUUUUUUCCCCCCCAAAUAUCUUUAUCCUUUAGAAAAUUUUCCUUGUUCAGCUCAAUAUUCCCCCUCCAGGAAUUCCAUCCCCAGCUCCGGCAGUGCCAGAAGCCGGGGGAGGAAAAACAAAAAAAAAAGUCUGGAUUUUCCUGACAGUCCAAUAAAAACCGGGAUAUUCUUCCAGGGAAUCAGGAAACUUUGGAGCAAAGGCAGCAAAAUCCAGCCCCAAAUUUUCAUGGAAGUAGAACCAGGGCUGGGAAUCUUGGGAAAGCUUCCAGGCACUUCCAAAAAUUCCUUUUCCAGCUGGGGAUCCCGAAGGAUUCAGGCAGGGUGGCUUCCCCCCUUUUCCCCCCCUUUUUUUCCCAUUUUCCUCCUCCAGUUUUUCCAAUUUCCUCUCCCUUUUUUCCCAGUUUUUCCCCCCUUUUUUCCCAGUCGUCUCCCUUUUUUUUCCCAGCUUUUCCCCUUUUUUUCCCUCAGCUUUUCCCCCCUUCUCACUCCCAGUUUUUCCCUCUCCUCUCUCCCAGUUUUCCCCCCUUUUUCCCCAGUUUCCCCACCUGGUUCCAGAACCUUUGGGAUCAUCCCCAUCCCAGAAAUUUCCCUUCCAGGAUUUUUUUUUUUAAUCCUGAUUUUUAUCCUGGCAGGAAAGGUGGAUUUGUAU
rnacentral:lncRNA from 1 species